UCCAAAACCACUUGGUCUUAAUCUUUUCAGUUUUUUAUGAUGUGACAUCAUAAAUUUGAGUUGAAUGUUUUGGAAGUUAUCUGCCAUUAUAACUGAAGAAUGCAAAUAUUUUAUUAUAAAAGGUCUUUGGUUUACAAUUUUAUUAUUUGUGAUCAAAAUCAUCCUUUGAACUUGUUUCCAGUUCUUGUUUUUGGAGGAUAUGAUUUGAUGGACGAAAAUGUCAAAAAAAAAAAAGUUGGGGAUUUGGAGUAAAAUAAUUUAUUACAUCAUUUUUUACCUGUUUUUUGUUUUUAACUUUUAAAUAUGCCAAGGAUGUAGAUUUUUAAAAUUUUAAAUUGUUAUUGGAAAUUCAUGCCUAUGAUGACUUCUCUGUCUGCAGGUAUAUUUAGGGGAGCAGUAUGUAAACAAUGCUACGUUGUCUGAUGUAACCUUUCUGGUUGAAGGUUGUAAAUAAGAAGUUUUGGAUAGUUACCUUUAGUGGAAUUGUUGUUUUUCAGUUCCUGCUAGUAUUUUAGAUUUGUUGGCAUGAACUCUUACAAGAUCACAUUAUUUGUGCGCUGCAGGUAGACGGUUUUAUGCCCAUAGAAUUUGCCUA
rnacentral:misc_RNA from 1 species